CUGGGAGUGCUCUACUCCAGCUACAGGAGGAAGCAGCUGACCUCAGGGUCCCUUCUAGCUUCUAGGAAAAGUUUCCAGAGCCUGUCCCUGGAGUGCUGGGAGAAGUCAGUCUCCCUAAGGCCCAGGAGAGAAGCCACAAGAGGCUCUGCCACCUGCCUCCUACCAGGGCUGGGAGGCCCUCGCUCCAGUCAGGACACCCUAGAGAAGGGCUUUGGAGUACUGUCCCCACGACAGACUUGGAGGGACUGGUUGGUGGAUGGCAGGAGGAUGGACGCUGGCUCCAGCUGGCACCCAGGUUAGGAGGAGGCCGACCAGAGGGCCUGCCUUCCAGCUCUGCAAUGCCUGGGUCCUGUGUGCUGGCCCACAAGCAGAGGCUCUCCUGCCCCAGCUCCUGCUCCUCUCGGUUCUUUCAUAAUGACAAGCAUCACAUUAGUCACAGCCUCUAAGCAAGUGGCAAAUAACAACAACAACAGCCUCAGAAGUCGCCGAUCCCGAGGCCGGGACGCCGGGAGGCAGCCGCCCGACCCUCCCGGCCCCCACCCGGCCCCGCCGCCACCUCAUUGGGCUAAAAAUAAGAACUUCCGUAAAAGAAGCGAAAGAAAAGUGAAAGAGCCGCCCCUGCGUUCCCACC
rnacentral:lncRNA from 1 species